CCGGGAAAUCGCGGACUCCCGGCCUUCCCAAGACGGUGUCCCGUCCAAGUGCCGC
rnacentral:ncRNA from 1 species